AUUGAACGCUGGCGGCAUGCUUUACACAUGCAAGUCGAACGGUAACGGGCCUUCGGGUGCCGACGAGUGGCGAACGGGUGAGUACUAUAUCGGAACGUGCCCAAUAGUGGGGGAUAGCCCGGCGAAAGCCGGAUUAAUACCGCAUACGACCUGAGGGUGAAAGCGGGGGAUCGCCAGACCUCGCGCGAUUGGAGCGGCCGAUAUCAGAUUAGCUAGUUGGUGGGGUAAAGGCCUACCAAGGCGACGAUCUGUAGCUGGUCUGAGAGGACGACCAGCCACACUGGGACUGAGACACGGCCCAGACUCCUACGGGAGGCAGCAGUGGGGAAUUUUGGACAAUGGGCGCAAGCCUGAUCCAGCCAUGCCGCGUGUGGGAAGAAGGCCUUCGGGUUGUAAACCACUUUUGUCAGGGAAGAAACGGCAUUUUCUAAUACAAGGGGCUAAUGACGGUACCCGAAGAAUAAGCACCGGCUAACUACGUGCCAGCCGCCGCAGUAACAC
rnacentral:rRNA from 1 species